CUAGAUAAUGUCGGCAGCCCUUCUCUUUGAGAACCACUUUUAAUGAUUUAUUUUCCCCCUUAGUACCGAGCCACUGCACUGCCAGCAUUCAAGUACUACGUGACCUGUGCUUGCCUCAUAUUCUUCUGCAUCUUUAUUGUGCAGAUUCUCGUGUUGCCAAAAACUCCCACCCUCGGCAUCUCCUUUGGAGUUGCGUCGCUCUCACUUGCCUUCAUCCUCUUCGUCUGCUCCGCUGGACAGCUUUUGGUAGGUACCUCAAAUAUGGAAUUUCUUUGAAAAGCGUGUGAAUAAAAAGAAGGCUGAUUCUUGAUUAAAACAUUCAAAAGCUGGCAGUUUUUUGAUUUAUCAUUUCAGGAGACACUGAGCUCAGUAAAGAAACAGGAAAUCUUCACGCUUAUAGACCUAGAUAUCAACCGAGGCAGCCCAU
rnacentral:lncRNA from 1 species